CGUUUAUCUACGAAGAGCGAAACGUAGCCGUAGAGAUGGCCUUGAAACGGUAGGGCUAAUUCGAUAUUGACGUUCAAGUCCUUUGCUAUUGGCUAACUCCCCACCGCUAUUCGUACUGUCACUCAGAACUGUCAAAUCCCGCCGCCGUUAUUUUUACGCCAUUACAGUUUUCGCGUCGAGUAGUGAAGUGUUUGCGUUGAUUAAUUUCCGUACCUUUAUUUCUCCGUGAUAAUUGUAAUAUUCAGUGCUACGUUUCAUUUUGAUAUUCAAAAUGCCUCGCAAGUGCUGUAUACCCGGCUGUGAUAGUAAACGAAAGGACGUUAUGCUGCACAGAAUGCCAGCGGCCAGUGAAAAAGUUUUAUUGUGGCGUAAAACAAUUUCAGCAGUUCCAUUAACCAUUUUUGAGGGUUUGACAUCGGGUGAAAUUAGUAAACUACACGUUUGCCACAAUCACUUCGAGGCCAAAUACGUGUCUUCGAAGAUGCGGUUAAGGCCGAAUGCCUGUCCAACAUUGUUUACCCUCGAAGAAAUCACCACUGGAACGCCUGCUCACUCAUCUGCUGAAAGAGUUUAUAGGUUCCUACGCGGAAUUGUUAAAAUGGACACAACUUCAAGUUUAGUGUUCUACGCGGAAUUGUUAAAAUGGACUCAACUUCAAGUUUUCCCAGUCGAUGCCGCCGCUGAAAUGUUUUUUUUACUUUUUCUACAUGGUUCGUGUAUUCGUUAUUUGUAUUGUUCAUAUAAGUUUGUUACGUUUAUUUACAUUCAGUGUUAGUCUGGCCUAGUGGGUACAAUUUUAUUAUUAGUGUGAUGAGCAUGGAUAUUUGUUCCUGAGUAAUGGACCAAUAGUGGGACCGGAUUUUUGCACUAAAAGUUUUGAUAAUUCUAAAGAUGAAAAAGUGAUACUUAUCUGACAUGGGACAUAUUUUUAAGCAUAUUUGUAAAAUAUGACGAAAAGUUAGAACGAGCGUUAGAUAUAAAUUAGGUAUUUAUAUAUUUUUAGUAAUGAUUUUUUAAUAUUGAAUUAAAGUGCAAUG